rnacentral:rRNA from 1 species
AUACGAAAGGUGCAAGCGUUGUUCGGAUUUACUGGGCGUAAAGAGAUCGUAGGUGGUUUGUUAAGUCGGAUGUGAAAUCCCGGGGCUCAACCCCGGAACUGCAUUCGAUACUGGCAGACUAGAGUUUGGGAGGGGUAAGCGGAAUUCCGUGUGUAGCAGUGAAAUGCGUAGAUAUACGGAGGAACACCUGAGGCGAAGGCGGCUUACUGGACCAAUACUGACACUGAGGAUCGAAAGCGUGGGUAGCAAACAGGAUUAGAUACCCCAGUAGUCC